rnacentral:rRNA from 1 species
UACGUAGGGUGCGAGCGUUGUCCGGAAUUAUUGGGCGUAAAGAGCUCGUAGGCGGCCUGUCGCGUCGGGAGUGAAAGCCCACUGCUUAACGGUGGGUCUGCUUUCGGUACGGGCGGGCUAGAGUAUGGCAGGGGAGACUGGAAUUCCUGGUGUAGCGGUGGAAUGCGCAGAUAUCAGGAGGAACACCGGUGGCGAAGGCGGGUCUCUGGGCCAUUACUGACGCUGAGGAGCGAAAGCGUGGGGAGCGAACAGG